GCCCGGGGCGGCGGUGCAUUACCAUGCAGUCGAACGAUGAAGCCGCUUCGGUGGUGGAUUAGUGGCGAACGGGUGAGUAACACGUGGGCAAUCUGCCCUGCACUCUGGGACAAGCCCUGGAAACGGGGUCUAAUACCGGAUAUGAUCACCGGCCGCAUGGUCUGGUGGUGGAAAGCUCCGGCGGUGCAGGAUGAGCCCGCGGCCUAUCAGCUUGUUGGUGGGGUGAUGGCCUACCAAGGCGACGACGGGUAGCCGGCCUGAGAGGGCGACCGGCCACACUGGGACUGAGACACGGCCCAGACUCCUACGGGAGGCAGCAGUGGGGAAUAUUGCACAAUGGGCGCAAGCCUGAUGCAGCGACGCCGCGUGAGGGAUGACGGCCUUCGGGUUGUAAACCUCUUUCAGCAGGGAAGAAGCGCAAGUGACGGUACCUGCAGAAGAAGCACCGGCUAACUACGUGCCAGCAGCCGCGGUAAUACGUAGGGUGCGAGCGUUGUCCGGAAUUAUUGGGCGUAAAGAGCUCGUAGGCGGCCUGUCACGUCGGAUGUGAAAGCCCGGGGCUUAACCCCGGGUCUGCAUUCGAUACGGGCAGGCUAGAGUUCGGUAGGGGAGAUCGGAAUUCCUGGUGUAGCGGUGAAAUGCGCAGAUAUCAGGAGGAACACCGGUGGCGAAGGCGGAUCUCUGGGCCGAUACUGACGCUGAGGAGCGAAAGCGUGGGGAGCGAACAGGAUUAGAUACCCUGGUAGUCCACGCCGUAAACGUUGGGAACUAGGUGUGGGCGACAUUCCACGUCGUCCGUGCCGCAGCUAACGCAUUAAGUUCCCCGCCUGGGGAGUACGGCCGCAAGGCUAAACUCAAGGAAUUGACGGGGGCCCGCACAAGCGGCGGAGCAUGUGGCUUAAUUCGACGGCACGCGAGAACCUUACCAGGCUUGACAUACACCGGAAGCGCUGGAGACAGUGCCCCCUUGUGGUCGUGUACAGGUGGUGCAUGGCUGUCAUCACUCAUGUCUAAAAUGUUGGUUAAGUCCCGCAAC
rnacentral:rRNA from 1 species